rnacentral:rRNA from 1 species
AGCAGCCGCGGUAAUUCCAGCUCCAAUAGCGUAUAUUAAAGUUGUUGCAGUUAAAAAGCUCGUAGUUGAACUUCAGGCCUGGCUGGACGGUCCGCCUUCCGGGCGAGUACUGUCUGUGGUCGGGUCCUACCUUCUGGCGAAGCGUCAUGGCCUUAACCGGCCGUGGCGGGGAACCAGGACUUUUACUGUGAAAAAUUAGAGUGUUCAAAGCAGGCAAUUCGCUUGGAUACAUUAGCAUGGAAUAAUGGAAUAGGACAAUGGUUCUAUUUGUUGGUUUCUAGGACUGUUGUAAUGAUUAAUAGGGAUAGUUGGGGGCAUUAGUAUUCAAUUGUCAGAGGUGAAAUUCUUGGAUUUAUUGAAGACUAACUACUGCGAAAGCAUUUGCCAAGGAUGUUUUCAUUAAUCAAGAACGAAAGUUAGGGGAUCGAAGACGAUCAGAUACCGUCGUAGUCUUAACCAUAAACUAUGCCGACUAGGAAUCGGGCGAUGUUGACAAAAUGACGCGCUCGGCACCU